rnacentral:rRNA from 1 species
GCUUAGCCCUAAACACAGACAGUUAAACACACAAAACUAUCCGCCAGAGAACUACAAGCGAAAAGCUUAAAACUCUAAGGACUUGGCGGUGCUCCAUAUCACCCUAGAGGAGCCUGUCCUAUAAUCGAUACCCCACGUUUCACCUUACCUCCCCUUGUAACCCAGCCUAUAUACCGCCGUCGUCAGCCUACCCUGUGAAAGAAAUAAAGUAGGCAAAAAAGUUAACAACUAAUACGUCAGGUCAAGGUGUAGCAUAUGGGGUGGAAGAGAUGGGCUACAUUUUCUAUUACAGAAAACACGAAAGGCAUAAUGAAAUUCACGCCCAAAGGCGGAUUUAGCAGUAAGAUAAAUAAGAAACUUUAUCUUAAGCCCGCUCUGGAGCGCGC